GAAAGUCUAACUGUCCUUAGAGGUCUCUGGCUGGCCUCUAAAGAGAUGAAUCUCAGGACUUUGGGUCAGGGUGGGGAAAUAGGCAGCCUCCACUUAGCUUGCUGGGAGAAGCCCUGUGGCCACGCUUCCCCUUAUUGCCACCCCCACCCCAGACUGCAGUGUGUGCAGUGUGUUAAUCGACCUCUUGGCUAUGGACCUUAAGGAGGACCGAAUGGCAGAGGCAGGGGGUGGGGUGCCUUCCUGCCACUGGUCUGAGCUUCGGCACUCCCCGGCUACACUUUGAGUUGCCUCUUGUGGCAGAGUCUCCUCUGCAGAUUGUUAUUCCACACUCCCUCAAGCACCGAGCACCGGGGCUGAGGCAUCUACUGAAGGAAUUGGAACUGCAUCAGCAGCAUGGACACCAAAAUUGGACAUGUGUAGAAGUAACCGGGCUGGAGAAGCGAGGGGUUCCGACUCAGCACAACGGCUCACUGUACCUUCGCCACUCCAGCCCCAAAGGGACACCAUCUUGUCUCCUGUGAAUGGGACUUCUGACAGUUAGAGGUCUCCUCCCGAUCUGAUGACCCAUCUCCAGGUACUCAUCUUCACUGGACCUUCCUCCAGCAAUUGUCUGCCACUGCAACUCUGACUUUGCCUCCCAGCCAAGCAGUUUCUCUUCCUCCCAGUGGCCUGUGCAGUCUCAAAGGGGCACACUCACAGCACGGAAGCUUCCUGGCCUCCUGCCUCCCUGAGCUGGUUUCCUUUCACAAGCUUUCUUCGAGCUGCUGGGGCCACGGCAAUGCCUGCGGCUCCUUUGCAGCUCUCGGUCUCCCUGCAGAGUGUCAGGCUGUGAAUCCGCCUUCUCCCUGCAAAGGCUGGCAACCAGAGGCCCUCCAGCUGGAGCAGCCACAAGACUACUAACAGAACCAAAGGGGAUGAAGGCCAGGGAACUCCGGAGGUCCAAAGCAAACGAAGAAGCUCCAGGAACAGACUGGCUUCAGAUUUUUCACACUAAACGGAUUGUUGGUCCUGUGACCUUCUAUGGCCCACUCUGAACUCUUGUCACCAAGAUAUCUCACUGCCCUCCCCUCCUGCUGUCAUGCAGGUGUAAGAGAGUACUGUGGGAGGGUUGGCCCGCUGUGGGUCUCCCAGCACCCUUUUCUGCUCCAUUCAGUUUUCUUAAAUAGGAUCUCACUGAGGACUACGAGAGCCCAACGAGAGCGGGAUCCUUCAAGGCUCCGGAUCCUCAACCCCUUCUAAAGGCGCCGCUCACGGGGGAAAACAGCUCUGCCCAGUUUCCAUUCCCGCCUCCAGAAUAACGAGCCGAAAACAUGUGUACUGUAAAUAAAGCCUGUCUAAAUAAAGCACUCGGGGAAAGGCUGCCGAGAAAACACUCUGCAUCGCUCUGUGCUCAGAGUGAGUCAGCU